CCCUUAGAUGUUCUGGGCCGCACGCGUGCUACACUGAACGGUUCAAUGGGUAAGGUAGUGCGAAAGCAUGACCUAAUCUCGAAAUCCGUUCGUGCUGGGGAUAGAAGCUUGCAAUUAUCCUUCUUGAACGAGGAAUACCUUGUAAGCGUGAGUCAUCAUCUCACGCUGAAUACGUCCCUGCCCUUUGUACACACCGCCCGUCGCUCCUACCGAUUGAAUGGUCCGGUGAAGCCUCGGGAUUGUGGCCAGUUCACUUUAUUGGGAGUUGGCUGUGAGAACUUGUCUAAACCUUAUCAUUUAGAGGAAGGUGAAGUCGUAACA
rnacentral:rRNA from 1 species